GACGAACGCUGGCGGCGUGCUUAACACAUGCAAGUCGAACGGAAAGGCCCUGCGUUUGUGGGUUGCUCGAGUGGCGAAGGGGGGAGUAACACGUGAGUAACCUGCCCUUGACUGUGGGGUAACUUCAGGAAACUGGGGCUAAUACCGGAGAGGAUCUCCUGCUGCAUGGGGGUGGUUGGAAAGUUUCGGCGGUGGGGGAUGGACUCGCGGCUUAUCCGCUUGUUGGGUGGGUAGGUGAUUACGAAGGUUGUGAAGGGUAGCCUGCCUGGGAGGGUGACCGGCCACCUUGGGCCUGAGAUACGGCCCAGACUCCUACGGGAGGCAGCAGUGGGGAAUAUUGCACAAUGGCGGGAAGCCUGAUGUAGCAACGCCGCGUGCGGGAUGACGGCCUUCGGGUUGUAAACCGAUUUCGCCUGUGCCGAAGCGUGAGUGACGGUAAUGGGUAAAGAAGCACCGGCUAACUACGUG
rnacentral:rRNA from 1 species